UACGAAGGGGGCUAGCGUUGUUCGGAAUCACUGGGCGUAAAGCGCACGUAGGCGAAUCUUUAAGUCAGAGGUGAAAUCCCAAGGCUCAACCUUGGAACUGCCUUUGAUACUGUAGGUCUCGAGUCCGGAAGAGGUGGGUGGAAUUCCUAGUGUAGAGGUGAAAUUCGUAGAUAUUAGGAAGAACACCGGUGGCGAAGGCGGCCCACUGGUCCGGUACUGACGCUGAGGUGACGAAAGCGUGGGGAGCAAACAGG
rnacentral:rRNA from 1 species